AGCUCCAAUAGCGUAUAUUAAAGUUGUUGCAGUUAAAAAGCUCGUAGUUGAAUAUCUGGUUUAAUGCCACUGGCCCGCCUCAAUAGAGCGUGAGCGCCGGUACGCGUUUGCCAUCCUUCUAGAAAACGUUUGAGGCUUCAUUGCUUCACUCGGGAUCUAGAUCUUUUACUUUGAAAAAAUUAGAGUGUUCAAAGCAGGCUUUUGCUGUGAAUACAUUAGCAUGGAAUAAUAAUCUAGGACUUCGGUUCUAUUUUGUUGGUUUCUAGUACUGAAGUAAUGAUUGAUAGGGAUAGUUGGGGGUGCUAGUAUUCAGCGGCCAGAGGUGAAAUUCUUGGAUUCGCUGAAGACUAACUUAUGCGAAAGCAUUCACCAAGGAUAUCUUCUUUA
rnacentral:rRNA from 1 species